rnacentral:lncRNA from 1 species
AACCAAACCAAACCUAUUUAAAACACGUAUGCCAAGGAUAGAAAAAAAAAAAAAACAUAAUAUAGUCCAAAAUUUUCAUACCAAAAUCUCUACCAUAGUCCGACAUCAAACCCCAGAAAAAAUAAAUGAGACACAAAAUUAUAACUAGCAAUAAUUUCCUUUCAAAACUAAAGGAACAUAUGCACUACACAAUAAUUCCCAAGCAUCUAAGAGAUAAUUCCCAAGCAUCUAAGAGGAUUGAUCCACAAUUGAUGAAGUUUCACAUUGAAGCCUUUAACUUGAUGUUUAAGUUGACAUCAUGAUAAAAAAAUUGACAUGAUCUACCAGGCUACUCAAAACACAUCCUUGAUGCUUAAAUAGUGUAAUUAACGUCUUGCAUGACAAAUAGAACUUACACAAGCCAACCAUACCGUAAUAAGCACGCCACAAAUCACUUUUCUGUCCAAAUGGAAAUCGAAAAAUUAAAUGAGCAUGUUGAGGGAUCUAAUUAGGAAGGGCUGCACAAAUACCAAUCACAAACUAGAUCACAUCCUCCUAAUUACAAGUAGAGGAUACUCUAUCUAAUAAUAAGUGAGAAGAAUAUUCC